rnacentral:tRNA from 1 species
UGGUCCUUAUUAUAAGUUAAGUAUAUUUAUUUUCCGAAUAGAUGGUUAUGGGCCAA